AUUAACUCAAACCCGUCCCACUGUGGGUGGGUUUGGAUUUGGAUGCCUGUGGUGAGCUUGCUUGCCGCUCGUCUUGAAAUGUAUCUAUGUUGUUGCCCGGAUGGCUAUGGUGUUUUGAUAACAGUUUGAAAAAACACUUGAUCCCAAGUGGGUGAUGAUGAAUGCCUCGUGCUUUGCUAUA
rnacentral:misc_RNA from 1 species